CAUCACUAACAGCCAAGGCAACCUCAUGCACACAGCUCCUUGGCCCACGUUAGAUGCUAUGAGGAAGGAUGUCAACUACUGUCAUCAGGGGAAGAUACCGAGUCCUGGAUUUGGAUCAUGGCAGAUGACAAAAGAAAAAGCCAAUGGACUCUGGGAGCAGAUCCUGACUUGAAAUUUGAUCAACCCUGUUGCUGCGAGCAUGUGUCCAUUCACCUCUCCUGAGCAGAGACCACCAGUCAAACUAAACGGUGAGAUGCCUUGUGAUGGUGGGGGGAAGCCAACAAGGGCCUAGCUUAAGAUCAGAAAGCUUAUUCUGCUUGGGACUGUGGCUCAACUUUAACCCAAGUCUUCAGAGGGGACAAGAUGUGCACAAAUCAAAUGAGUCCUUUAGAGCUUUAACCAAAUGACAAAGAUCAGCAGAAGGAAAUUGGCUUUAGCUGCUGGAACAGAUCAAGCACUGCAAACACCACUCAGGAGAAGGAGAAGCCCCAGCAUUUGGAGGGUUUCCUGUGUCCUUUUUUGGACCAGUAUUCCCUAGCUGCUGGGAAUCUGGUGUAGUGAUGCCUGGGACCAUUCUGCUGGCUUCUCCCCUUGACUCUCCAUAUGCUGCAUCUCCAGGAACUGCAAGCACAAUCAUAGGUUGUCCUCCCAGGCAGCCUGAUCUCUCUACUCCCAUCAAGUGUCAAUUGGCUGAGCCCUGGGAAGAGAGCACCUCAAUGGAGCAGAGGGUCCUUCUGGCCUUUGCUUUAUGCCUAGAGAGCGGGGUGUCAGGGGUUCCCAGGAGAGAAGAAGACAGUGCUACAAGCACCUCCAUAUAGAAUCCAUUUAGCUUAAGGGAGAAACACAGUGACCAAAGAACAACAUGACCAAAAGCUCCUAGCUCAGCCUUCCUUUAGACAUCUUAACCCACACCAUACGCAAGCAGAUGUUACAGUGUGGACAUCCAGAAGAGUUAAGAUAAAUCUAGUCUUCCGAAAGCUUCUCAAACAAAAAGAAAAACACUUACCUGCGGCCCAGCUUCAACCUUCACCAGCAAUUAGCAAAAUGAAAAUACCUGAUUUGGUGAUGGAGAUACACUCCUUCUCCCAUCUUUUGUCCAAUGUUUAUUUAAAACAAAAAGCUGCCAUCUUGAUGCGUCAACUAGAAAAACAGUAUGUGAGCUCUUCCUGCUGAGCCACAAUGAGCGCUAGAAACCUACACAUUCCUGCCACAAUCGUGCUGGUUUCUGCUUGGGUAGAAAUACAAGAAAGUGGAAGGCAGAGGGGGAAGAGAAGAAGGGGGAAAAUCAAACCAAAUCGGCUAAAUAAGAGAAUCAAAAAAAUCAGUGGAGAAGGUGAUAAUCGUCAUUUCCAUUCUCCAUGGAUCUAGAUUGUCAAAGGUGCCCUGGGUAGCCCCACUUACUACUCUACACCCAUGAUCACACCAGCAAGACUUAGCCAACAAAACCACCAUGAAUGACCGAGACCUCUUGGAAUUGGAGCAACUGGAAAUGGCAUCCAUCCUCCCAGCCUCAGCAUCUAAAGUGAGGCAUUACACAGGUGAACAUUGCUCAUAAACAGCAGCAACUGCAACACCCCUGUCUGACAAGGAGGCUGGAGCAGUGCUGAGGAGCUGCAUUCCUGAAGGGGAGUCUCACCCCAUCCUUUGUAGCUGGAAGGAAGGUCACCCCUGGUGGGAGGUGAAGAUGAGGAUCUCCACAGGAUA